UACGUAGGGAGCAAGCGUUGUCCGGCAUCCUUGGGCGUAAAGCGCGCGUAGGCGGCCUCAUAAGUCCGUUGUGAAAGUCAAAGGCUCAACCUUUGAAAGCCGAUGGAUACUGUGAGGCUAGAGUCCGGAAGAGGCGAGUGGAAUUCCUGGUGUAGCGGUGGAAUGCGCAGAUAUCAGGAGGAACACCGGUGGCGAAGGCGGGUCGCUGGGCAGUAACUGACGCUGAGGAGCGAAAGCGUGGGGAGCGAACAGG
rnacentral:rRNA from 1 species